UACGAAGGGGGCUAGCGUUGCUCGGAAUUACUGGGCGUAAAGGGCGCGUAGGCGGAUGGUUCAGUUGGGGGUGAAAGCCCGGGGCUCAACCUCGGAACUGCCUUCAAUACUGGCUAUCUUGAGUACGGGAGAGGUGUGUGGAACUCCGAGUGUAGAGGUGAAAUUCGUAGAUAUUCGGAAGAACACCAGUGGCGAAGGCGACACACUGGCCCGUUACUGACGCUGAGGCGCGAAAGCGUGGGGAGCAAACAGG
rnacentral:rRNA from 1 species